UGACUGGUAUUUGAGUUGUUUGGGAUGGCGGGCUCCUUGCUUUGAGCAUCGAACCGUCGUCUUUCAACUCUCUUCAGUGGUGCCUUGCCUACGGUGACGGUGAAGACCGAGUUCUUGUGUUGCGUACCCACAUCGUGGAAUAAUCAGGUUCGGUGAAUGUUUUCUCCGUGUUCCCUCCUAGGGUGUGCGGUGGACAUUGUGGUUGCUCACGGGUUCCAGAUUCGCACUUGCAGUGUGAGUUGUGGCCCUCGUCGGCUGCCCGUGCUCUCGGAUGCCGAAAAUGAUGCGGCCAUGGGGAUUUUCAUCCUCGACGGUUGGCCCGACCCUUCGAAAUGAUUCCAAACGACUGCGUCUGCCUUUGCUUGGUGCUCUGGCAUCGAGCGAGGCGGAUGCAUCGAACGU
rnacentral:misc_RNA from 1 species